UACGGAGGGUGCAAGCGUUAUCCGGAUUUACUGGGCGUAAGCGUGCGCAGGCGGUUUUGUAAGCCAGAUGUGAAAUCCCCGGGCUUAACCUGGGAACUGCAUUUGUGACUGCAUCGCUGGAGUGCGGCAGAGGGGGAUGGAAUUCCGCGUGUAGCAGUGAAAUGCGUAGAUAUGCGGAGGAACACCGAUGGCGAAGGCAAUCCCCUGGGCCUGCACUGACCGCUCAUGCACGAAAGCGUGGGGAGCAAACAGG
rnacentral:rRNA from 1 species